rnacentral:rRNA from 1 species
GACGAACGCUGGCGGCGUGCCUAAUACAUGCAAGUAGAACGCUGAAGGAGGAGCUUGCUUCUCCGGAUGAGUUGCGAACGGGUGAGUAACGCGUAGGUAACCUGCCUGGUAGCGGGGGAUAACUAUUGGAAACGAUAGCUAAUACCGCAUAACAGUAGAUAUUGCAUGAUAUCUGCUUGAAAGGUGCAAAUGCAUCACUACCAGAUGGACCUGCGUUGUAUUAGCUAGUUGGUGAGGUAACGGCUCACCAAGGCGACGAUACAUAGCCGACCUGAGAGGGUGAUCGGCCACACUGGGACUGAGACACGGCCCAGACUCCUACGGGAGGCAGCAGUAGGGAAUCUUCGGCAAUGGACGGAAGUCUGACCGAGCAACGCCGCGUGAGUGAAGAAGGUUUUCGGAUCGUAAAGCUCUGUUGUAAGAGAAGAACGAGUGUGAGAGUGGAAAGUUCACACUGUGACG